rnacentral:misc_RNA from 1 species
CUGAGUUUUCAACUCUCCAAACCAUGUGAACUUACCACUGUUGCCUCGGUGGUUGGUGCCCCUAGGGCGCUGCCGCCGGUGGACAAACUAAACUCUUUGUCAACUUUGUCAAGUCUGAAUCUAAACUAAGAAAUAAGUUA